rnacentral:lncRNA from 1 species
AGAUCUUAAAAAGAGAGUUGUAUCAUCUGCUAGCUGUGAGAUUUUUAGGCUGUGAGUUUUUUUAUCAAUUUUUAUUUGUAUCCCUUUCAGAUCAUUAUUAUCUCUUAUUCUACAAGCCAGUAUUUCAACAGAUAAAACAAACAAUAACGCGCUUAAAGGGCAUCCUUGUCGAAUUCCCCGUUGAAUCCCGAAGGUUUCAGAAAUCCACCCGUUAUUUAAAAUACAUCCUUUUAUAUCACAAUAAAGUGUUUUGACCCACUUUUGAAAAGACUUGUUAAAUCCAAAUUUUUUUUAAUGAUUCCAGCAUGAAGUCCCAUUCGAGUGAAUCGAACGCUUUAGAAAAGUCAAUAAAUAGUAUAGCUCCAUCAAUAUUAAAGUUUUCAGCAUAAUCUAUAAUAUCUUGAAUUUGGCGUACGUUGAAUCCUAUAUAUCGAUUUUUAACGUAACCAUUUUGAUCUCUAUGUAUAAUUAGGGGUAAGAUUUUUUUUAGUCUUUGUGCUAAGGUAUAUGUAAUAAGUUUUACAUCAGUAUUCAACAAAGUAAUUGGACGGUAAUUAUCUAAGGACAAAGGGUCAUUUUUUUUGAAAAUCAAUGAUAUUAUCCCAAUCUUUUGGGUCUCAGAUAAAGUUUCAUUAUCAUAACAUGUGUUAGAAACAUUCAAUACAAUAUGCUUUAAAUUUGGCCAAAAUUGUCGAUAAAACUCAACUGUUAAGCCAUCUUUGCCUGGAGUCUUAUUUAGUUUCAUAUUCCAUUCUGAAAGUCAUAAUCGUAACAGUCUUUCACUAUAGCAAAUAAAGUAAAAGCAUCAAUCAAUCGACAUUAAGUCUUCAGACAAUAUUAUACAUGAAAUCAAACAGUGAAUACAAAUAGGUUGUGCGGUUUGCCUUAACAAUAAGUUGUUAUCGUUAUAGAUAUAAAUAGAAAGUGAAAGUAAUAAGAAUCUAGUAUAGUUCAAAGAGAAAGUUAGUCGAUAAAGUUAUUAACGAUGUGGUUAUCUCCUAUUCUUGCACGUCUGUGUAGUGGUCCUCAUAGAUGUUUCUAGUGGUAAUAAUGUAGAAAUGAUGGAAGUAGCUCAUAUGUAUCAUGAGAGCUAAUUCCAUCAUUUCUACAUUAUUACCAUAGAAACAUCUAUUACACAGACGUGCAAGAAUAGGAGAUAACCACAUCGUUAAUAACUUUAUCGACUAACUUUCUCUUUGAACUAUACUGGAUUCUUAUUUUACUUUCACUUUCUAUUUAUAUCUUAAGGUCAUAACAACCUCUAUUGUUAAGGCAAACCGCACAACCGCAAAAUUUGUACUUCACUGUUUGAUUUCAUGUAUAUAUUGUCUUGUUUGUGACCACAAUAAAUUAAUCAAGUAAUUAGUCUUUAAUUACGUUUAUUUGCUUUUAUAUGAAAGACAACUGUGAAUAUUCAAUUCACGAUUUAUUCAUUAUUAAGUUGAAGUACUUUUUUACUUGAAUGCACGAAGGAUCAAUUAAAGCGGUAUAGCAUGAACGAAAACGGAAUUUAAAGAGGACGUUAAUUACAAUUUUUAAGGAAACAUACAAGAAAAGUCAUCAUGAAGAUUUUACCAUACAUAAGUAACAAAUCAAUCAAUAUUACUUUCCAAUCUUUAAAUUCAUCUCAUGAUAAAGUUUCAGAUUCAUCAAAUCAUGUAUUAGAAAUAUUCAAUGAACAAUAUGUUUUAAAUUUGGCCAAAAUUGAAAUUGAUAAAACUCAACUGUUAAGCCAUCUUUGCCUGGAGUCUUAGUUAUUUAGUUUCAUAUUAUAAAUAGAAGAUGUUAGCUCUUCUAAAGUUAAUUUACCAUCCACUUGUUUGCUUUCACAAGGAGUUUAAAGAAUGAUCAAUGGGGGUAUUUUCUAUGUAUGUCUUUAAAAUUUCAGUUUCGGGACAUGUACUUUUGUACAGAGAUUUAUAAUACUCUUUACUUACAUCUAAAAUUUCACUUUGAUCAACAGUAACCUCACCGGUUUUGGUCAUUAAUUUAUUAAUAGAUUUUUUAGCCUGUCUAUUUUUUUCUAGAGAUAAAAAGUACUUAGUAUUUUUUUCCCCUUCCUCUACCCAUUUUAUUCUUGAUCUAACUUGGGCUCCUUUGGCUUUUAAAAGAGUAUAUCUCUUCUAAAUCUUUUUCUAAAUUUUUUAUUUGAUUAAAAAGUUCAUUAUUUUUCCUAUCAGGUAAUUUGUCUAAUCUUUCAUUUAAAAGAUUUAGUUUGUUUUCCAUUAUUAAAAUAUUAUUUUUCCUUUCUCUGGCUUUUGAUUUACAGUAUUGGAUAGUAGACUCUCUUAUGUCAGUUUUUAGCAGGUCCCACUGAUUUAGGACAUUUGUAAGAUUAAAAUUUUGCUCAUACUUUUCAAUUAACUUAUUUAUUAGUUUAUUGUACUGAGUAUCAGUCAAUAUACUGUUAUUCAUUUUAAAAUAUCCUUUACCCCGAUUAUUUGCAUAAAUGUCUAAUUUAAGCGAAAUAGCCUGGUGGUCUGUGAAUGAAAUUUGUGCAGGCCUGAUAUCAGCAGAUACAGUACUUAGGCGUGCUUGUGUGCAUAUUAUAAAGAAGUCUAUUCUACUAGCUUCAUUUGUAGAAUUUUUUCUUUUCCAUGUGAAUUGUUUUUUAUCUUUAUUUAAUUGUCUCCAAAUGUCUAUCAAUUUAUGUGUUUUAAUUAAUUGUUUUAAACCAUUGACUGGCUUUUUUAACUUUUUAUGUAAUUUAUUGUUCUUUGUAUCUAAAGCUGAGAGUAAAUCAUUCAUAUCUCCCCCUACUAUUAGAGCACCAAGAGUGUGUUCUUCAAUUAAUUUACUUACUUUUUUAUAAAAUUGGUUUCUUGCAUGAACUUCAUUAGGUGCAUACAAGUUUACUAAGGUAAAAAUCUUAUCUUGAAUUUCUAUAUUAAUUAUAAUAAUUCUCCCUUCUUUAUCACAAAAUUCAUUAAUUAAUUUAAAGUCUAGUGAUUUAUUAAUAAAGUAAGAAACUCCCCUUGAAUUUGUUGUGCCUAGGCUGUGAAGAUGUUUGCCAUGGAAUUCAUUGUUAAUUUGCUUUAUCAAAUCUUUUGACAAGUGAGUUUCUUGUGCCAUUAAAAUGUCGCAUUUCUGCUGUUGAAACCAAGAGAAUAAUCUAAAGCGCUUUUCCUUUCUCGCUAAACCUUGACAAUUAAGUGAGCAAAUGUGGAAGUUUUUUGUUUUCAUUAUAGUAUUAAAGAAGUUUAAUUGUUGAUCUCUUAAACGAUUUAUUUAAAUCUAGCAAAAUGUAUAAACCUGUUCUAUGUAUCGUGACCCAGAUAAACAUGUAGUUAUUUUUAGACCUAUAAAUAGCACAGGUAAAGUUAAUUUCUAUUUUUAGUUUCAUUACUGACUUUCUGAAAACGUCUUGUAUUUUGUAAACAUUAGCAUUGUCAUUUACUGUAAUUUUGAUAGCGCGGGUGGUUCUUUUGUAUUUACAACUUUUAUAUUUUUUUACAGAUAUGGAAUUAAUCGUGUCACAGAAUGUUGUUAGCCAAAUGACUUUACUAGAAGUGCUUAAUUCUGGAAAUAUGUGCACAACAAAGAAGUGUGUGAUAUCUAAGUUCAAGAACAGUUGGAUAUUUUUGGCUGUUUUGUUAAUGUUUAUAAAAAAUAACUGUGUAGAAAUAUGUUCGUAUCCUGAAGAAAAGAACAUCGGAAGAUUGUCAUUUACCGAAACUGUACUUUUAUACUUCAAGACUGGCUUUUUUUUACUUGAUUCCAAGAAUAUAUUAUGACAAAGGAUUAAAGUGUGUCUAUGAAUACUGCAUUUCGUUAAUUUAGUGCUCCAACCAAUUAAGCAAUUUUCAUUUGUUUUAGAUGUGCAUGGAACAAUAUUUUUUAUCCAAGAAGAUUUACCACCUUUAUAUUCAU